AUUCAGCGGCGGACGGGUGAGUAAUGCCUAGGAAUCUGCCCGAUAGUGGGGGACAACGUUUCGAAAGGAACGCUAAUACCGCAUACGUCCUACGGGAGAAAGCAGGGGACCUUCGGGCCUUGCGCUAUCGGAUGAGCCUAGGUCGGAUUAGCUAGUUGGUGGGGUAAAGGCUCACCAAGGCGACGAUCCGUAACUGGUCUGAGAGGAUGAUCAGUCACACUGGAACUGAGACACGGUCCAGACUCCUACGGGAGGCAGCAGUGGGGAAUAUUGGACAAUGGGCGAAAGCCUGAUCCAGCCAUGCCGCGUGUGUGAAGAAGGUCUUCGGAUUGUAAAGCACUUUAAGCUGGGAGGAAGGGCAGUAAGUUAAUACCUUGCUGUUUUGACGUUACCAGCAGAAUAAGCACCGGCUAACUUCGUGCCAGCAGCCGCGGUAAUACGAAGGGUGCAAGCGUUAAUCGGAAUUACUGGGCGUAAAGCGCGCGUAGGUGGUUCAGCAAGUUGGAUGUGAAAUCCCCGGGCUCAACCUGGGAACUGCUUUCAAAACUGCUGAGCUAGAGUACGGUAGAGGGUGGUGGAAUUUCCUGUGUAGCGGUGAAAUGCGUAGAUAUAGGAAGGAACACCAGUGGCGAAGGCGACCACCUGGACUGAUACUGACACUGAGGUGCGAAAGCGUGGGGAGCAAACAGGAUUAGAUACCCUGGUAGUCCACGCCGUAAACGAUGUCAACUAGCCGUUGGAAUCCUUGAGAUUUUAGUGGCGCAGCUAACGCAUUAAGUUGACCGCCUGGGGAGUACGGCCGCAAGGUUAAAACUCAAAUGAAUUGACGGGGGCCCGCACAAGCGGUG
rnacentral:rRNA from 1 species